AAAUUAGGUGCAUGUGUGAAUCUGGAUCUCUAUAUGGGUGUGAAGUAAGAAAAAUUUCAGGACGUUGUCAAGAUUAGCCCUUGAAAAGAACUUUCCGUCAAAUUUCGAAGUCAAUCAUCAAAUUUAACUUUUGACAUCGAAUUGAGCCUGAAUACAUUUGUACUAUUGUAGGUGGUCUCCACGGUCGGGGCAAUUUUACGGUGGUCUUCUUAAAGAAAUGCUUCAUCUUCAACCUUGCUGGCUUAAUUGAAACGGGAUGGUGCACGUUUUUACAAUCGAAAUGUAGACAGAUAGAUAUCAGGGCAUGUCCAAGCCAUGUUGAGCGUUGCUACUUCUGGAAAGCGGGACCAACCCACGAUCCAAAAGACUGAUUUUCGUGGAGAGAACUGGGCAAACUCACUGCUUUCCAAGCACGCUCCCUAGAAAAAGCAAGAGACAUCAUGUCGACUUAUUUAUAACGAGUAACUUCAGCGUGACUUUCAAUAUUUAUAAUCAAGCUGCAAUUGACAUUAUUUCGAAUCCAGUCUUUCAUGAAAAAAUCAAACACAUAGAAGUGGAUGUCACUUUGUGAGAGAGAACGUUCGGGAUAAAAUAAUUGAGACUCUAUACAUUUGUAAUGAGGACAGUUUACAAAGGUCUUCACCAAAGCAUGGUAAAAAGGGUUUUUCCAAAUUGUGGUGGACAAGUUGACCUCUGACGAAGUCUUCGCCCCAACUUUAGGGGGAGUGUUGGCGAGAUUCUUAUCUCUUAUUCUUGAAAAUGAAAUAUUAUUGCAAUUGGAUUAUUCUUGUUUCCUAUUUCUAGUGUUUCAUUCCUUAUGUGAAUGGUUGCUUGUUGCCUUACUGUAAGCAACCGUAUGUUGUAUAUAUGAUGAAUAAUGACAAACCUACUCCCUAAGAAAAAAGAAGAGAGGGGGAGUUUUUUGUCCGUGGAUGUAUGCAUAUUGCUGAACCACAUUAUUUCCUUGUGUUAUUAUUUGUGUGUUUGAUCCUACUAAACUUCAAAAAAAAAAAAAAGUGGAAUAAGAAAGGUAAAAACAAUAUGCCUCUUGACAAACCUCUUCUCUCUUUGCAAACAUGGAGGAGAGCUCUAUUACUAAGUGGGAUUGAUCGAGUUCCUGGUAAUCAGUUUUUGAACUUAACUAGAUAACGCAGGCCACUAAGGGUGCGCAUGAUAACUAGUUUAUUUUUGUUCUAGAACUAUUUUUCUAUUUCAAACUUAUUUCUAGAACAAAAAUCUAUUUGGUAAACUUAUUUCAUUUUUCUAUUUCUGGAAUAGAUUUUUACUCCAGAAAUAGGUUUAGAACAGAAAUUAGAAAUAAAUAUUUUUUACUUUUUUACUUUUGGAACAAGAAUGAGAAAUAAAACUUUUUUCAUUAUUCGUCCUCCCUGCUAGUCAAUUGCUGCUCACCAUUUGCCGUCUACCGCUCGCCACUUGUCGAUGUCGCCUGUCGCCACCAUAGCCCAUCACCUGGCCGCCAUCCACUAUCUGCCGUUGACUUUUGUCCUCCAUUUGCUGCCGUUAUAAUGACCCCCAACUUCAUCUCUAGGGUAAUGAGUGAUAGGGAUUAUUUUCGGGAUAUCUCAAGCUCAUUGUUGUCCAAAUUCUUUUUAUCUUGUCAAUAAGUGCAUGUGAAAACGUGAACAAACUAAUCCCCCAGACAAAUAACAACUAGAAGACUGAGACAUACAUCACACAUAAUACCUUACUUUAUAUUAUAACAGUAUAUUUAUAAGCCAUUUCUCUACGGGCCCUCUUUCCUUUUUACAUCACACUACAAAUAUCCACGUAGGCCAGGAGAAUUUCUAUCUCCUCUAGCGUAAUUGCAGCUCCCAAAACUAAUGUGAGACUUGGAACCGGCAUGCCUCAAUGCCAAUCCAAGCCGAGCGAACCUUGACCUCUUCCUAGGGCAUGAAUGUAUUCAAACAUGCAAACAUGAGCAAAUCAUAUAAAAGAAUAUUACAACAUACACAUGGUUUACAUGGGUGAGCACACAACAAAACUUGAUGACGUAGGUUAUCGCCCUAGUCAAGAGUUGGAGAUUUCACUUGCAUACAAAAGCAUAAGGAAAUUGAUUGUCAAACAUGUACACAAACUAAGCCCGAAUGAGAGUGCAACCAAGUCCAAGUAACGUGACUUGCGGCUUGAACCAACAUGCGUCAAUGUCGGUCUAAGGCUGAGAGAGACCUAUCCAUGACCCGGAGUGCGAUUCGAUUUAGGAAUGUAAACACGUGAACAAAUUAAUCAUCAACAUUCAUAAAACUAACCAUGGGUGUAUACACAACUAAACUUGAUGACGUAAGUUAUUGCCAUAACCAAGAGUUAAAGAUUCUACUUACUUGGAUGGACCUCAAAAGCUUUAGGAACGGUUUGGUGAGGGUGGAUGCAUAUGAAGGCUGAGGGAGAGGAAUAGAGGAGAGGCAUGGAAAGAAGGC
rnacentral:lncRNA from 1 species